rnacentral:rRNA from 1 species
GACGAACGCUGGCGGCGUGCUUAACACAUGCAAGUCGAACGGAAAGGCCUUUUCGGAGGUACUCGAGUGGCGAACGGGUGAGUAACACGUGGGUGAUCUGCCCUGCACUCUGGGAUAAGCCUGGGAAACUGGGUCUAAUACCGGAUAGGACCGCACUUUAGUGUGUGUGGUGGAAAGUUUUUUCGGUGUAGGAUGAGCCCGCGGCCUAUCAGCUUGUUGGUGGGGUAAUGGCCUACCAAGGCGGCGACGGGUAGCCGGACUGAGAGGUUGGUCGGCCACAUUGGGACUGAGAUACGGCCCAGACUCCUACGGGAGGCAGCAGUGGGGAAUAUUGCACAAUGGGCGCAAGCCUGAUGCAGCGACGCCGCGUGGGGGAUGACGGCCUUCGGGUUGUAAACUCCUUUCGCCAAGGACGAAGCGUUUUGUGACGGUACCUGGAGAAGAAGCACCGGCUAACUACGUG